GACACCGUGGACAGCUCCUGAUGGCCUGGCGCGCUCCGCGUCGGGGAGGAGGGCGUGGCCUAGAAGCAUAGGAGCCUGGACCUGGAGGGAGGGGGAAGGGGUCGGGACGCAGGAAGGUUGGUGACUUGUGCUGCUGUUAAGGUCACUGCAGAGAAUGGAGCUUCGUUGUCCCCUCUUUGGUCACUCGUUUCUGAACAAAAGCCUCACUCGAGUGCAUUUUAGUGGCAGACCCUGGAUUCCACACCUGAGUUCUAACUGCAAAGGAUGCUGAGAUUCAGGGUCUGAAUCUGGGAAGACAAUGAGGAAUUUUCCUCAAAAAUAACAUUCUGUAAGUUCCGGUGACAUUCAGUUGAGGUGAAGAUGAGACAACCAUCAGAAGCGGUAGAAGCCAGCUGUGCACAAGAGCA